rnacentral:rRNA from 1 species
UUAGCCGUAAAAUAUUUACUUACACCAAAAUCGCCAGGGAAUUACGAGCCCAAGCUUAAAACCCAAAGGACUUGACGGUUUUCCAUCCCCCUAGAGGAGCCUGUUCUAUAAUCGAUUAUCCCCGGUCAACCUCACCACCUCUUGAAUAUACAGCCUGUAUACCUCCGUCGCAAGCUUACCCUGUGAAUGCACUAAGUGGGCUUAAAGAUUCUUACAUCCACACGUCAGGUCAAGGUGCAGCCUACGAGCUGGAAAGAAAUGGGCUACAAUUUCUAUCUUAGAAUAAACGAAAGACUACAUGAAAUAUAACCUAAAGGCGGAUUUAGUAGUAAAAGGAAAAUAGAGAGUUCCUUUUAAUUGGGCACUGGAAUGCGUACACACCGCCCGUCAUCCUCUUCAGAUAACAGACAAAGUCACUAACACCACAUACCUUCACAGAAGAGGCAAGUCGUAACAUGGUAAGCGUACUGGAAAGUGCGCUUGGAACAACAAAAUGUAGCUUAACAAAAGUAUCUUGCUUACACCAAGAACAUGUCUGUAAAAAUCUGACCAUUUUGAGCUUAAAACUCAGUCCUACUUUAUUUAAUAACACACACCAGCCAACAACAAAAUAAAUAAAACAUUUUCUUAACUUAGUAAAGGCGAUUAAAAAGUGCCUAGGAACCCAAACAUUAGUACCGCAAGGGAAAAGUGAAAGAAAAGUGAAAUAAAUUUAAAGCACCAUAAAGUAAAGAUUUACUCUUGU